UCAUCGGCCUUUUUCAAGGCCACAAAUAUUUAUUAAAACGUUGGA
rfam:Lasius niger Lnig_2.1_10119, whole genome shotgun sequence.